CUUGCCCCGAGAUGAGUUCUCCCUGACCCUUUAAGGGUCCUGAAGGAACGUUGAAGACGACGACGUUGAUAGGCCGGAUGUGUAAGCGCAGCGAUGCGUUGAGCUAACCGGUACUAAUGAACCGUGAGGCUUAACCUUACAACGCCGAAG
rnacentral:rRNA from 15 species